rnacentral:tRNA from 2 species
AGUGAAGUCAGCUAAUUAAGCUUUUGGGCCCAUACCCCAAACAUGUGGACUAACCCCCUCCUUCACCU